UCUCUUGCCUGCUGCCAAGUAAGAUAUAACUUUGCUCCUCCUUCACCUUCUGCCAUGAUUGUGAGGACUCCCCAGCCAUGUGGAACUGGAAGGCUUUCCUAUCUGGAGCUCGUUCCUUUGAUUACCACCAGAAAGAGAGGAGAUGGAGAAACCAGCACAAAAUAGCCCCGGAGUUUAAUGGACAAGUUUUAGAUGCUUCUCAGAUCUUCUACCUGAAGUUUGGAAAUCUCAGCUAUUCCACUUUUACUUAGCCAAGUGAUGAAAACAUCUAUUCAGAAUUCUAAAAGCAAAAAAGGUGGAGAAAGGAAAAACAUGAUGGUCUUUAUCGCUAACAAAAUGUGCGGAGAGAAGUUAAAGCCAAGUGUGAAAGUUCCUUGCUAUAUUCUGGUUGCACCUUUGUGGAAUACUAAUUCAGCUGUGGGAGGCUAUUGGUCCAGAAUCCUGGUUUCCUUCACCCUGCAGCCAGGUGAUAAAGCCCCUCCUUAAUGACCCAGAAGCCUGAGGAAACUGAGGCCAAGUGUGAACACAGCAGGAUCUGAUUUUCUAGGCCAGAAAUUCAUUUUAGGGAAAACUUAGGAAGCCUUUCUGAAAUAACUUUUCUGCUUUUGUAGAAGAAUGAUUCGGGCACGUGAAAAUGAUGCAAACCUUUUAUAAAUUAGGUACUUAACCUCUUGCAGCCUCAGUUUCCUCAGCUGCAAAAUGGGAAAACUGUUACUCAACUGUCAGUGUUGAGUAGGCAUUAAAUGAGAGAACAGGAGCUGGCAUGGAAUGAGGUCAUGCCUGUGAGUUUAUUCAGACUCCACUGUCAUGGAAAAUAUCAAAAAUUAAGAAUAUAAAUAAUCCCUGAGAGGCAAAGUCUUAAUUAACUAGCAUGGCCUCAUUUGAAAAAAAUCCCAGCCCUGUGGUUUCUGAAUAUGGAUAAACAAUGCCAUCAUUUCUUAAGAGCUUUAAUUUCCUACCUGCAACGUGGGAACAGAGGCAUUUUAGUCCAUUUUUGGAGUUUUCCUUGAACUCCCUGUUCAUCAGAGGAAAGAGCUGAUUUGCUGAUUUGGGGAGCUGCUUGCACCGUGGACUUCUAUCUCCAUCUCUAGGGACUCAGGCUUCUAACGGCUACAGACACUUUAAAAGCAGCUAAUGUUGGUUGGAAUUUUAUACCUUCAGGCGAAGCUAACCAUGAGAAUAUUUUCAUUUACAACAGAAUAUUAUGAAUGAAAUAAAUUAACCUGGCAGACAGAGAUUUAAGCUGGUUUCAGCACACUGCCCCACGAAGAUCUGCCAUGCUACUCAAAACAUUAUACUCCAGCUCGCCCGUUCCUAUUAUUAAAAACAGCAUCACCCGAGGGACAUGAGCAACGAUGACCCUGAAAAUUCCUUGGGCACUAUGACUGGCUCUUCACAAGAGAGGACAUGGUUCUGGUGCUCAGUGACUGGGUUGUAAAGCCUGGUUCUGCCACUCAUCAGGUGGGUGCCCCUGAGCACGUUACUCAACCUCUGGGUCAAGAUUUUAAAAAAUCUUUCCAGGUGAUUCUAAAGUAUAGCAAAAUUUAAGAAGUAUUGUCCUCGGGCAAGUUCCUUACUGUGUUUAAACCUCAGUUUCAAUAUCUUUAAAAUGGGAAAAUCACGGCAUGUACUUCAUGUGAUGGUGCUGAAGAUUAAGUAAGAUAAUGAACACUCGGGGAUUAAGUGCUUAACGUAUGUGUUACCUAGCAAGGGUCCAAUCAGUGUAAGCCUCUACCAUCAUCGUCAUCAUCAUCAUCAUUACUGUUGUCAUCAUUAUCAUCAUCAUUGUCAUCACUGUCGCCAGCAUCACCAUCACCAUCAUCAUCUUUGUCACAUCAGCAGCCACAUCUUCAUUGUUGCUAUUGGUAUCUUCACCAUCAUCAACCUCACUAUUUUCAUCUUUGCCAUGAUGAUCAUCACAGCCAUCAUCAGCCCAUCAUCAUCACCAUGAUCAUCACCAUCACCUUCACCACCGUCUUUGCCAUCAUCAUCAUAAUCAACACCAUCACCUGACUCUAUAGGAGGUACCAUUGAUUUUUUUCUUUUAGAAAGCGUUUUGCUCUGUUGCCCAGGCUGGAGUGCAGUGGUGCAAUCUUCGCUCACUGCAGUCUCAAACUCUCGGGCUCAAAUGAUCCUCCCACCUCAGCCUCCUGAGUAGCUGGGACUACAGGCACAUGCCACCAAGCCUGGCUCGCUCUUGCUCUCUCUCCCUCCAUAUAUAUAUAUAUUUUUUCCUUUUGUUUUGGUAGGGACUUCUCACUCUGUUGCCCAGGCUGGCCUCAAAUUCCCAGGCUCAAGUGGUCCUCCUGCCUCAGUCUGCCAAAGUGCUGAGAUGACAGGUGUGAACCACCAGCCCAGUCUGACACUGAUUCCUUUAGGAAGACUCAUGAGUGCUUUGUACCCAACAUGAUGAUCUUGAAUUCCUGGUUCUGCUUUUAAUCCUUCAGAAAAAGUGAAGGGCUAGUAAUCUGUAAAAAUUCUCUGAACAUUUUGAUUAAUUUCUAAUUAGGUCAAAAAUGUUUAAAUCAAACCUUUUCGUAACAUUCAACACGCACUGAGAAUGCGUGUUGAUGCUAAUGAUGGUCCUAUCUGUGGGUGCAGUGCUCCAAGCUCACUCCUUAGAUUCUUUCACUCACACUCGAACACCUGUUGUGGAAGGGGAUCCCAACCUCUUUCUCAGAGGCAACGCCUCCCCAGGGGUGAAGCAGCAAAAAUGCAGCUAGAACUCCAUCCACCAUUCUAAGCAUCACUGUAGGAGUAAGUCACCCACCCUAACACAUUCUCAGCUUCGAAUAAAUUCCUUUCUGCGUUUGGCAUGGAAGGUGAUAAGUAUUUUCUGAGCUAUUUUUCAGUUGCAAACUUCAGUCUGCUGAGAUGAAAUAUGCAGAUUGAGGCCUGAACAGCUGUAGCACUGCAGAGUGGCUGGUAUUUUGGUGGGCUUUAUUUUAAAGUCUUUGACAGUUCAAUCUCACUAAUUCAUUAAUUCAGCUGUUUAGGAAAAGCCAUAUGAUCUUAAAAUAAGUCCCUGAAGGUCAAGCAUAUAGGGUGAAAUUUUAUUUUUCAGUAAACAAUAGCAUUUGACGAAAUAACAGAAAUGUCCCUUAUAGUAUCUCUUCCUUUGCAUCUUUGAAUGAAAUUACCAAGUGUACAUCACUGAAUGUUCAUUUGUAAACAUUUUACAUCUUCUCCAUGCCUUUCUGGCAGAGUAUUAAGGUAACAUUCUGAUAUCACUGUUCCCAAUGAAGUUAGAGAUUCUAAAGAACAAUUUCAAAACACAGCCCUAACUUCGGAUGUCACUGAUCAUUUGGAAAGUCGUUUGUUACAUCUAGUCCAGAAAAAUAUAAGGUUCUUGUCAUAGAAAGGCUGAAGUAUUGACUAUAAAUCUAUACAGAAAAAGAAAAAAAAAACUUGUAAUGUGAAAGUUUUCCAGGUCAAAGCUGGAUCUCUCUCAUCCAUCACUGGGUUCUCCAAGGUGACAUGCAAUUCAGGAGAAAAGCAUCAGCAUCCAGAAAGAUGCUGCCCAAGGAUGUCUUUGUGCUCUUUAAUGGUGGGUCUUUGGCUGAAUCACCAGACUGGCAGCUUUGGAAUAGCUGCUCAUGGAGGUGGGAGGCAGGAUGUGGAGGUCCUUGGAUAAAUGUCAUCUAGACUCACAAAGAAUCCUGUACUCAUCAACGCUGAUGGAGUCCUGAAGUUCAUCUACCUCAAAUACCUUCUUGUCUCACUUUACGGAUGAGGCAACUGAGGCGCAGGGAGAAUAAAUGAUGGGUGCCCAUUAAGGCACUCAAUUAAUAAUAAAGCCAGAGCUAAGAUGCAGGUGGCAUUGGAGCCUGGUGACAACCAUGCUUUGCAUCAGAGUUGGCCUGUGUGUUCCUCCGGUCCGACCGCAAGUACAGGCAUGGCCAUUUUGCUUGUGGACAAAAAAGACUCUUUCAUCUCACUCCCAGCUCUUAUGGUGUGACCCGGGCCAAAUCAUUCAAAUCCUCUCCAUCCCAGCCUCCUUAUAGAUAAAGCCCUCUUAAUAAUCCCUACCUCAUAGGGAUGUUGUAUCAAUGAACUUCUA